rnacentral:lncRNA from 1 species
CACACUAAGCAAAAGAUAUAUAUAUAUAUAAGCACAAAAUCUUUAUUUGGUUUUUCAUGGUUAUGUAUAUUUUUAUUUUAAUAUAGUAUAAGUAUAAAUGUAGAUAGAAAUACUUAGCGGGAUAAAUGGGGGUGCUCUCCCACAAGCUGAAUUUUGACGUAAUUUCUUCUGAUGUACCUAGCAGGUGGUAGAGGUGUAUUUGAAAGUCGGUAGUACCCUGACAGCGAUUAGGAUGUCCUCCGUCUGCUAGUCUUCUUGAUCCUUGAAUUCUGUGGAGCUCAAAAAGACAACAAAGCGUUGUGGAACUGAUUAAGUGUUAGCAUAAAUAUCUAGCCUUUAUCAUGUUGAGCCUCCUCAAUAAAUGUUACUCUCUUUAUAUUUUUUAUUUUUUAUAGAGCAGAAAAGAUUAUUUAUUUUAUUUUUAUGCCACCACAGUGAAUGUACUUAUGGGUUUGUUGAUGCAAAACUGAUCUGCAAACACAAAGGGCUAAUACCCGAUUCAAAUGUUAAGGCGUGCCAGCCGAUUUGACCUCGCUAUCGGCAAAGGUGAUAACUCGAAUACUUUAGUCCUGACAACAGCGAUGCGCCCGGAUGUCACGGCUAAGAGGUACUCACGCGGAACUCGAGAACACGCCGAGCUUAAGUCGACGAAUUCCUAAGAACUCGUAAUAAAAGGAAAAAAGUAUGACGAAGUCGUCGAAAAGUAGAUGCUGGAAUAUGAGUAAAAACGUGUGUUUGAUUGAUUUCUUCAUUCCUGAUUACAAGGUCCUAGGGUUUAUAUUUAUACCCUGCUCAAAGAGCUACGACCAGACACGAUUAGAAUUCGAAUUCCAAAUUACACGGAAUCCGUAUACAAAACGAUGCAAAUAACUAAGGAAAUAAUAAAACUAUCCUUCGUGACAAACCGAAACUCCUCCACAUGACAACUGGCAGCUUCCGGACUCCUCCUUCACGUCAUCGGCAAUCCCCUUGCCAUAGUCAUCGGCAGACCUUUUUACCCAGUCAUCGGCACCAUAUUACUGCCUGUGGACUUAGUCACAUUCAACCUCUCCCUCAUCGGCAACCAUCCUC